rnacentral:lncRNA from 1 species
UCGGUGUCAGAUUAGGUACGGGGUCAUUGGGCGGUUCAACAUUCCUUGGAGCCUCUAUUGAUUCUACUAAGGAUGGCUCUUCUAUCGGUUCUGCUAUUUCGAGAUCGUCAGUCGAGUUUGUUGUUUCAUCCUCAUCAAGCUGAAUUGUUUGCCUUUGUCGAGUUGCGUCGCCUACUACUCUUUCAAUAUCACGAGCAAUAAUCAUACCUUUUUCAUAAUGUUUUUCUAUAGUAUCCC